rnacentral:lncRNA from 10 species
UGUGAUGCUGUGUGGUUUCUGUCACGUACACACACACAGGCACACUCAUGCACACACCCCCUACCUCCCUGCCUACAUUCCACCCAGCCUGACUGCUCUGGAAGGAAGAAUCCCUGCAAGGUGAGUGUUAUUAUAUCCAUUUGUGGACCAGGACUGCGGCUCAGAAGCUUUUCCCAGGACACUGAACUCUGACAGGUGAAUAGCUGCCAAGUGGUGGAGGUUGGCCUGCAGUGAGCAUCAGUCUGACUUCGAAGGUUUGCAAAACGCUGAGCAUAUUUUUUUGUGGUCUCAGUAUUCAGAGCUCAAAGUACAUCAGGUGAAGAACCUGGAAUCUACAAGUUCAAGAGGCAUGGGGAGCACCUUGGGUCUUGUUUUAUCACCUAGGCUGGAAUGCAGUGGAACCUGCUUAGCUCACUGUAGCCUUGAACUGCUGGGCUCAAGCAGUCCUCCUGUUUUGGCCUCUGAAGCAACUGGGACUACAGGUAUUGGCCUGGAGUGAUUCCAAGCUCUCCUGGAACAGGAGGUGCCCCCACUCUGGGCAUAAAUAUCUCUCCCUCAUCCCUCGCAGACAACGAUCUUUGAGUACCAUCCAGUCAUAAUAUAGACAUGGCCAAGGUAACGGAGGUAAACAGAAAACAGGAAAAAUACUAGGCUGUUUGCACUGGAACAUGGUAACCAUGAAAUGAGCAAACAUUUAAUUUUGUUCAUUGAGGUCAACGUGAAAGCUGCUGAAUCUCUUAUAACAACUUUCAGGACACUUGGUGCAUGCCAUUUUGAAACACCUCAAGCUGAGCCUGUUGUUCUGAAAUGUCAGAAUGUUCCAUUCUGGUAAACAUUCAACUUGUAUUGAGUUUUCCCUUUGUGCAGAACCCUGUGAAGUGCAGCUAAAAUGUAUAAGGGGAAUGAAAGAGGAUAAAAUGAAAACUGUGGAAGCCGUGAGUCAGUAGGCAGUGAAAACUAUCCGAGAAGGCUUUCUGCUUUUGGUUGAUUACAGACUGAAUCUAUGACCCAGGGAAAGAAGCCCACCCAUUCUUUGUACGUGUGCCUUAUUUCUGUGGUUCCCUUUUCAAUAUAAGGGGCUGCUGAGACAGUAAUUUUUACAUGUGGAGUAAGGUAAUCUCAGAACAUUCCUGUGUGAGUUUGAGGCAGCUUUGAAUCCUGGUUCCACUGCUAUUACCUCUGCAGCUUUGGGCAGGUUACUUAAUCUCUGUGAUCCUGAGUUUCACAUCUGUAAAUUGGGGGUAAUAAAAGUAUCUAUUUAGGGGUUUAUUGUAAGGACUACAAAGGAAUUAUGAAUCUAAAUUGCUUAGUGCAGCCUGGUCCAAAAAUGUUCAAUGAAUGUUAAGCUAUUAUUAUGGAAAAUUAAGUCGACUCUGGAAAAAUCAAUGAUUUAGGAUUCUUUAGUUUGCUAGUUUUGAAAAUGGCUCAAUCUAGCACAAGCAAGACGGUAUGAGCAUUCUAACACAUAAUAAAUGGAAAGCUGAG